UUUCCUUAUUUGGAAAAUCCCACCCGGCCGCUAUCUAUACCCUUUUCCCUUUCGCCCUGCCGCUUCCCCUCUUGGCCGGAGGCUCCUCCCUCGCGGCAGCGACCAAUACGGCGAGACGCCGCGGCCGCGCGAGCGCCCGCGAGGUCAGCGGCGAAUAGGGCGAGGCGCCGCGGCCGCGCAAGUGCACGCGAGGUCAGCGGUGAUUACGGCGAGGCGCCACGUCCGCACGGGCGGCAGCGGCCAAUACGACGAGGCGCAGCGGCCGGACGGGCCCCACGAGGUCCAGGGGCGGCUGCAGCCAAUUCGGCGAGGCGGCGGCUGUCCGGUGGCCGUACGUCCUCCUGCCUGGGCUCGAACUCCCGCCGUGCGUCCCCACCCGCAUCACCAAGCUUCCCAGCGCCGUCCGCGUCGCCUCCGAGGAUGUCCCGGUCAGAGUUGAAACAGACCCACAAGACAGAACUCAGCUCUGGAUAGGUCUUCGGGAGCUGAGUUAUUUUACCUCAGUUUACCCCCUUUAGCAGCCACCAUUAUCUUUUCCUGGCACUCCUUUUGAACAUUGUUCAAAGAAAUCAGCAGCUGCCAUUAUUUUACAUCAGUUUACCCCCUUUUAGUAAAAACAGACAACUCAUUGUCUCGCUACUCCUAAUUUUUUAUUGUGCUUUUGUGUAGGAGGAGAAAUUGAUCCUUAGACUACAAAAACAACAGAACAGCAGGGAUGAUAUUCAGGUUGACAUAUCUGAAAAGAGCCCAAGAAUACUACAAAUGGGUUCGACAUGGGUUGAACAUAGGGGUUCUUGGCCUGAGCAUGCAAGUGUAUGGCCGGGACAGUCGUUACGUGAUUAAUAUGUUGGGAAAAUCAGUAAUGGUCGAGCAAACCGAAAAGGAGAGGCUGAAUCUUCUCCCGCAAAGUUACUGGUCAGGAUACUAUGUCGAAUGCGACAUUGCUGUAAGUACAAACAUAAAUAUGUGCAGAGAAUACUCUUUUUUUUCCAUCCAAACGCUCUGUCAUUUGUUUUGCGUGCCCCCACCCUUCUGUGCCUUUUAUGAAUCUUUGAUCGGUUCAAAUUUUUUCAGUCACUAUUCCAAAAGGCAUUUGAAACUCCAAUGGCGUUAUCUGUUCACCUGAGGGAGAGAAUGAUAGGGUUCCAGCUUGACCGAAUUGACAUCGUAUUUUUGUAGUCCAACAUACGAGCCAUAUAAUUCUAUAGUCUCCAUGCAAAUUCCAUUUCUUUUCUAUUUUCAGUCAAAAGUCAACAUAACAUUUUUGAGGUAAUAUCGUUUUUAUUUUUGGAUCCAUGAACAGGGAUUUUUUUUCACCCUUAAGCUCAUAUGGCUUUUGGUACACGGUUGUCUCAAACUUUAGGAAGAAAAUGUUCGAAGUCCUCAGCCCAAACAACCAAAUUGGCCUGAUUGCUGCCGAAGCGCAGCUUGUAAUAAAGAAUUUCAAAGAGGCUUCCACCUUGUCUAUCUUAGGGUAACGCGAGUCAAGGCGGACGUCGUCGCGGUAGCGACGACGGACGCCGAGACGAGCACGUGACACUACUGCCACC